rnacentral:lncRNA from 1 species
CAAGCAGCUAGCUGACCAGGAGGACUAGAGCUUAUCCCCCUGCUUCUUGGCAGGCAGGAUGGUGAAUAGCUCAGCUUCCUCCUCCUCACUCCCCUCUCCUAUGCUCUCUUUCUCAGAAACAUCAUUGCUUAUAAUAACAGUCUGGUGCCGCCCAGUAUCCACACAGAGCCAGAACUCAACAAGAGGUGGAAGGUUACAGGUGGCUGGAGCUGGAAGUCAUCCAAACAGCAUAGGUUGGCAGGACAACUUGAGGCUGGCCACAGACGACAGAACAGAGGAUCAGGUCUGUGGAAUGGACACAGGGCAUUAAAGUCAAACAACAGACACGAAGUACAACCGCAACGUGAUGGUGUUAGAUCUUCGAUGCAGACUCUGCAGACUCUGGUACAACCACGUGAUGGUGUUAGAUCUUCGAUGCAGACUCUGGAAACUGGCUUUGCGAACGUAAGCUCAAGACUCACCUCUGGCCAAAUCCAAGAAGCUGGCAAGUGGAAGAGGCAGGCAGGGAGGAGCUGUGAGUGUGCUGUGUUCUGAUCCCAGUAGGAAG